rnacentral:rRNA from 1 species
AAGCAAGAUAGUGAUAUUAAGCAAAACCCAAAAAGCAGUCUCAGUUCGGAUUGAAGGCUGAAAUUCGCCUUCAUGAAGCCGGAAUUGCUAGUAAUGGCAGGUCAGCAUACUGCCGUGAAUACGUUCCCGGGCCUUGUACACACCGCCCGUCACACCAUGAGAGUUGGGAAUACCCGAAGCCUGUGAGCUAACUUUUAGAGGCAGCAGUCGAAGGUAGAAUCAAUGAUUGGGGUGAAGUCGUAACAAGGUAAC